rnacentral:rRNA from 1 species
AACGAACGCUGGCGGCAUGCCUAACACAUGCAAGUCGAACGAGACCUUCGGGUCUAGUGGCGCACGGGUGCGUAACGCGUGGGAACCUGCCCUUAGGUUCGGAAUAACUCCCCGAAAGGGGUGCUAAUACCGGAUAAUGUCUUCGGACCAAAGAUUUAUCGCCUUUGGAUGGGCCCGCGUUGGAUUAGCUAGUUGGUAGGGUAAAAGCCUACCAAGGCGACGAUCCAUAGCUGGUCUGAGAGGAUGAUCAGCCACACUGGGACUGAGACACGGCCCAGACUCCUACGGGAGGCAGCAGUGGGGAAUAUUGGACAAUGGGCGAAAGCCUGAACCAGCAAUGCCGCGUGAGUGAUGAAGGCCUUAGGGUUGUAAAGCUCUUUUAACCGGGAUGAUAAUGACAGUACCGGGAGAAUAAGCGCCGGCUAACUCCGUG